ACCUGGGUGGCUCAGUCGGUUGAGCAUCUGACUUCUGCUCAGGUCAUGAUCUCACGAUGCGUGGGUUCGAGCCCCACGUCGGGCU
rfam:Felis catus isolate Cinnamon breed Abyssinian chromosome B1, whole genome shotgun sequence.